rnacentral:rRNA from 1 species
UACGUAGGGUGCGAGCGUUAAUCGGAAUUACUGGGCGUAAAGCGUGCGCAGGCGGCUUCGCAAGUCAGACGUGAAAUCCCCGGGCUUAACCUGGGAAUGGCGUUUGAAACUACGGAGCUGGAGUGUGGCAGAGGGAGGUAGAAUUCCACGUGUAGCGGUGAAAUGCGUAGAUAUGUGGAGGAAUACCGAUGGCGAAGGCAGCCUCCUGGGCCAACACUGACGCUCAUGCACGAAAGCGUGGGGGAGCAAACAGG